UCCCAUGUGGUCUAGUGGCUAGGAUACCUGGUUUUCACCCAGGAGGCUCAGGUUCGAUUCCUGGCAUGGGAU
rnacentral:tRNA from 1 species